GGGUAUAUAGCUGAGGGGUAGAGUGCAUGCUUAGCAAGCACAAGGUUCUGGGUUCAAUCCCCAGUACCUCCU
rnacentral:tRNA from 1 species